AUUAUAUAAGUUCAUUUCAAGAAAUGCCCCAAAAAAAUGUUGAUUUUUAAUUAUUGCCUAAUAAUUAAUAUUCCUUUUCAGUUAAGACUAAUCUAGCUUGUUUCUUCCUUCCUUAUCCCUUUCAUUAUUAUUAUUUGUUGCUUCUCCUAUUAAAACACCCAUUUGGGUAGAAUUAUAUUUGCAUAGUCAUUGUCACAAUUUAGCCUUUAAAUAUCUUAGACUUCUCACCAAUUAUUCCUGUCUGUAACUUCAAAUGGCAGAGUCUGGUGGUCGUCCCUUCUACAGUUGCAAAAAUUGCCUUAAUCCUCUCGCCCUUCACUCUGAUCUCAUCUCCAAAAAUUAUAUAACGAAAUCGGGGAAGGGUUAUUUGUUUGCUCAGGCGAUGAACGUUGUCCUGGGAAGAAGAGAAGAUAAGAAGAUGUUAACAGGGGUUUACACAAUUGCUCAUGUUUAUUGUAGCAAGUGUGGUGAAGAGUUGGGUUGGCAGUAUUUACAUGCUCAUGAUUUUACACAGAAAUUCAAAGAAGGCAGCUUCAUACUUGAGAAAUUGAAGAUGAUUAAGGAAUACUAGAAGACUAUGACAAUAAUCCUUUGAUUGCUCUAUGCUUCAACGCAGUUUCUUACAUUUAUAUGCUGAAAUAAUUUGAAGGAUGCUUCUAUAUAUAUUAUAUUUUGUUUUAA